AUGAUCACCAGAUUUUGUUUCGCAGCUAGGUUUCCCCCUCCCGGCGUGCUCCCGCAUGUUGUCCCUCGCCGCCCAACCCGCCCUCACGCACCACCUCCAUUGGAUCCGUCGCCUUGCUGCUGCGGGCGUGGAUCAAGAGCAAGGAAGCCGGGAGGGAGCGAUGGCCACUGGCCGCCUCACAUCGAGGUUGAAGGCCAUGACCGCUUUGUCACUGUCGUCAUGCGCUCCGCGCUGGGAGUCGCCGCCUCUUUGGCCGAUGUGGCGCCAGGGUCGACUCGGGCUGGAGCUUCCUGUGCGGCGAGAAGCCAUAUGUCUAAUGCCCUGAUCUCGCGCCGGAGCGUGCGCAAUCGUCCUCGCGCGUGGAGGCGCAGAUGCGGCCGUCGCCUCCAGGUUGUUGGGUGGGCUAUGAUCAUCGCACCGACGCAAUCGCUGGAGUCCACCAUAACCACACUGCAUGCAUGCCAAUGGCGUCGGAGCAGGCUCCAUCAGCUUUGA
rnacentral:rRNA from 1 species